GAUUCGCUGUCACGCGACAGAGAAAAUGUCGCGCGUUAUGGAUACAAUCUCUAUGUCUCAAAUUUAACAAAUUGAUCUACUCGAUUGAAAGUGCUCGAUAAAAUGUAUCAAUUAAAACUUAAAAUUGUGAAUUCUGGAUGUUAUUUGGAUAAAAAGUUAAUUUUAAAGAAAAAUCAUUGGAUAAAUUUAAGAUGCCUCCCCGUUAGAUGCAAUUAACAACAUCUGGUCGACGUUUCAAAAAUUUCAUCCUCGAGAGGCUCGAAAGGAAACGAAUCAUCGGCAAGUGAUCGAAUUCGUACUUUAAUAAAUUUUCAUGAAAAUUUAAAUAACGUUAAAUAAUUAUUUUUCUUCCUGCAACAAGCGCGAAACUAAUAUCCAGCUAUUCUUCUAUUCGAGCAGAAAUAUAGUUAAGAAAAAAUCCCUUUCCUCGAUUUCGUCCUUUUUGCAUGCCAGAAUCACGCCAUAGAAAAUCAAAGUUCGAUUGCCUCGCGCGGGUCGGCUUCUCUCGUCACAGGCCGAGUUCAGAAUUAUCGUGCGCGCUACAUCGAGGACGACGACGAUUCCAGUUGCGCCACAAUUUAGAUCCAGCCGAGCGAUAAAUGGCGGUCGAUUGAAUAACGCGUUGAUUAAGCGCGAUCUCAUUUCUGAUAAUACCGCCUUUCACCGCCCCCCAAACUUCUUCCAACCUCGAAUCUUCCCCCAGCGGAUAAAAUGGAGGAAUUCGGAAGACGUCCUUUGGAUCAGUCGGGAUUUCUUCGGCCAAUUUGAUCUUAUCGCUCAAUUUGAGGAAUCGAUUGAUAUUUUUAACACGCACGAUAGAAAUCCCUCUUCGAGGAGAUGUCAAUAAUCGAAAUAAUUUAA